GCUAGUAAUCGCGGAUCAGCAUGCCGCGGUGAAUACGUUCCCGGGCCUUGUACACACCGCCCGUCACACCAUGAGAGCCGGGAACACCCGAAGUCCGUAGUCUAACCGCAAGGAGGACGCGGCCGAAGGUGGGUUUGGUAAUUGGGGUGAAGUCGUAACAAGGUAUC
rnacentral:rRNA from 1 species